rnacentral:piRNA from 2 species
UUCUUCUUUAACCUUCAGAGAAGUAGAUGC